AGCUUGUUGGUGAGGUAAAGGCUCACCAAGGCGACGAUCAGUAGCUGGUUUGAGAGAACGACCAGCCACACUGGAACUGAGACACGGUCCAGACUCCUACGGGAGGCAGCAGUGGGGAAUAUUGGGCAAUGGAGGAAACUCUGACCCAGCGACGCCGCGUGCGUGAUGAAGGCCUUCGGGUUGUAAACCGCUUUCAGCAGGGAAGAAGCGAAAGUGACGGUACCUGCAGAAGAAGCACCGGCUAACUAUGUGCCAGCAGCCGCGGUAAUACAUAGGGUGCAAGCGUUGUCCGGAAUUAUUGGGCGUAAAGAGCUCGUAGGUGGUUCGUCACGUCGGAUGUGAAACUCUGGGGCUUAACCCCAGACCUGCAUUCGAUACGGGCGAGCUUGAGUAUGGUAGGGGAGUCUGGAAUUCCUGGUGUAGCGGUGGAAUGCGCAGAUAUCAGGAGG
rnacentral:rRNA from 1 species